rnacentral:rRNA from 1 species
GAUGAACGCUAGCGGCAGGCCUAACACAUGCAAGUCGAGGGGUAUAGUUCUUCGGAACUAGAGACCGGCGCACGGGUGCGUAACGCGUAUGCAAUCUACCUUUUACAGGGGAAUAGCCCAGAGAAAUUUGGAUUAAUGCCCCAUAGUGUUAUAGAAUCGCAUGGUUUUAUAACUAAAGUUCCAACGGUAAAAGAUGAGCAUGCGUCCCAUUAGUUAGUUGGUAAGGUAACGGCUUACCAAGACAAUGAUGGGUAGGGGUCCUGAGAGGGAGAUCCCCCACACUGGUACUGAGACACGGACCAGACUCCUACGGGAGGCAGCAGUGAGGAAUAUUGGACAAUGGGCGCAAGCCUGAUCCAGCCAUGCCGCGUGCAGGAAGACGGUCCUAUGGAUUGUAAACUGCUUUUGUACAGGAAGAAACACUCCCUCGUGAGGGAGCUUGACGGUACUGUAAGAAUAAGGAUCGGCUAACUCCGUGCCAGCAGCCGCGGUAAUGUA